UUGGUGAACAUACCUAUAACUGUUGCUUCGGCGGGUAGGGUCUCCGUGACCCUCCCGGCCUCCCGCCCCCGGGCGGGUCGGCGCCCGCCGGAGGAUAACCAAACUCUGAUUUAACGACGUUUCUUCUGAGUGGUACAAGCAAAUAAUCAAAACUUUUAACAACGGAUCUCUUGGUUCUGGCAUCGAUGAAGAACGCAGCGAAAUGCGAUAAGUAAUGUGAAUUGCAGAAUUCAGUGAAUCAUCGAAUCUUUGAACGCACAUUGCGCCCGCCAGCAUUCUGGCGGGCAUGCCUGUUCGAGCGUCAUUUCAACCCUCAAGCUCUGCUUGGUGUUGGGGCCCUACAGCUGAUGUAGGCCCUCAAAGGUAGUGGCGGACCCUCCCGGAGCCUCCUUUGCGUAGUAACUUUACGUCUCGCACUGGGAUCCGGAGGGACUCUUGCCGUAAAACCCCCCAAUUUUCCAAAGGUUGACCUCGGAUCAGGUAGGAAUACCCGCUGAACUUAAGCAUAUCAAUAAGCCCGGAGGAA
rnacentral:rRNA from 1 species